GGCUGCCCGUGGUAAAGCAGCAGCUCCUAGCAUUCUGGCCACUCUGUAGGCAGCACUCUGUGAUUUAAAGGAAACCAGACUGCCAGGAACAGCUGCACACAGCCCUGAUUGCAGAUGACAUGAACAGGGCUGCCAAGGGAAAUUGUGAGGAUAAAUGAGGAUAACCCUGUCCAGGUGUGACACUCUACGCUUCUUGGAGGAAGGGCGGGAUGUAAAGCAUAAUGAUAAUGGGACCUGCCAGAUGGAGAAGCUUUUGUGCUUAUUUUCACUGGAUUCCACCCAGAACCACGCGUGGAAAAGAAAGAGUGUCCACAUGCGGCAGUCCUUCAUAUGCCUUCAGCUUCGUCCAAAAAGCCAAGUAAAAUGGAAGUCUCUCUGGUUUUCAAGCUAGCUGUGAUGACACCAUGGCAGAGGAACACCAAUUGCAAUCCUGCAUUUAAUUGCAAAGCCAUCCCACACAACGGUAUUUCCCCAGCCAGCCACACUUGCUCAACAUACACACAGAGACAAAACAUACAGGUCUGUCCACCUGUGCGCAUGCAAACAUGCACCCACACACCUCCAUUGUCACGUGUGGCAGGUGCUGACACCAUAGCCAUGUACUCAAAAUAUUGGCAUCUCAUUCAGGCCAAUGUGGAGUCACCUGAUCUUGCCUAACAGGUUGGAGCUGGGAGAAUUGCCAAAGGGUUAUGAGGUUCAACAGUGCAGCAUCAGUGAGGUGGGGCCCUUAAUCCAUUGGGUAUGCCAGAAGAACACAAUGUAAUGCAAUGCAAUAAAAGUAAUAAAACAUAAUGGGAUCCUCUUAACAUAUCAAUUAUGAAGCAACAGCUCCUGACCCCCCACAAAUCUUCAGCAGUGUAUACAAGGGGUACACACUCACGAUUCCGUAAGUAUUCCACUGCAUCCUUUACAUUCUUUUUCAUAUAAUCAAGAUGAAUUAAAAUAGUAAAAGGAUAAUACAUUUUUUAAAAAAACUUUAUUGUUAGCUGCCCCAUAACAAAUAGUUCUCUGGACGGCUCUCAACACAGCAUUUGUGUUGUUGUUUUCUAAAAGUAUUUUAAUUGGUUUUAAAUUGUUUUAAUUGUUUUUGAAUUGUUUUUAUAUUGUUUUUAGCACUAUGUUUUCAAUUGUGUGUUUUUAUGUCUUUUAAAAGUUGUACACUGCCCAGAUGGCGGUUUAUAAAUGUAAUAAAUAAAUACAUUGAGUAAAAACACGUAAGGCACAUGA